GACGAACGCUGGCGGCGUGCUUAACACAUGCAAGUCGAACGGAAAGGCCCUGCUUUUGUGGGGUGCUCGAGUGGCGAACGGGUGAGUAACACGUGAGUAACCUGCCCUUGACUUUGGGAUAACUUCAGGAAACUGGGGCUAAUACCGGAUAGGAGCUCCUGCUGCAUGGUGGGGGUUGGAAAGUUUCGGCGGUUGGGGAUGGACUCGCGGCCUAUCAGCUUGUUGGUGGGGUAGUGGCUUACCAAGGCUUUGACGGGUAGCCGUCCUGAGAGGGUGACCGGCCACAUUGGGACUGAGAUACGGCCCAGACUCCUACGGGAGGCAGCAGUGGGGAAUAUUGCACAAUGGGCGGAAGCCUGAUGCAGCAACGCCGCGUGCGGGAUGACGGCCUUCGGGUUGUAAACCGCUUUCGCCUGUGACGAAGCGUGAGUGACGGUAAUGGGUAAAGAAGCACCGGCUAACUACGUG
rnacentral:rRNA from 1 species